GAGAGACAACAAACGGCCAAACAAAUGGUCAAGCUGAAACCUUCUGCUGAAACUCAGCUACCAGAUGUUGCUGGAAUCAACAUCAAUAUGCAAGAAAGCACAUUUGCAAGUCCUGGCAGUGCUGAGAGUCACAAAGAUCCCUGUCUUGGCACAGAGUGACCUCCCAAACAUGCCAGGUGCUUCUCGUCCUACCAGACUUGCAGACCUCCAGGUGAACUCCAAGGACACUCAGGGAGUACAAAGACCAUUCUUGCCUCAAAAUAUUUCAAAAAGGCAUGAAAGAUGGGAAAAUAUGCUAUGGACCGAGAUGAAAUAAUUGUCUUGGGGUUGUACAGCUGGCCAGUGUUCAUCCUGAAGAUACAUCUCAGAACCAUGAUUAACUACAGUUGCUACUGGAAUCAGCAAACCAAAAAGAAAGCUUUUUGUGGUAGAUCAAGCAUAUGAGAACAGAACUUGCAACACUGUAUGUUUCUUCCGUGGAUACAAGAAACAUAUACUAACUUGUAAAGUUGAGGAGAAUAAAAUGUGGAAUAUUAAGUUGCCCAUUACCUUUACUUGAAUGGCCCAACUCAGUGAUAUCAACCUUAAUUUGACAAGAAUUGAGGGCUCAGACAUACCCUCAAGCUAUGU